GGGAUCAUUACACAAAUACAAUAUGAAGGCUUCGGCUGGAUUAUUUAUUUCACCCUUGUCUUUUGCGCACUUGUUGUUUCCUGGGCGGGUUCGCCCGCCACCAGGACCACACCAUAAACCUUUUUUGUUAAUGCAGUCAGCGUCAGUACAACAAAUGUAAAUCAUUUACAACUUUCAACAACGGAUCUCUUGGUUCUGGCAUCGAUGAAGAACGCAGCGAAAUGCGAUACGUAGUGUGAAUUGCAGAAUUCAGUGAAUCAUCGAAUCUUUGAACGCACAUUGCGCCCUUUGGUAUUCCAAAGGGCAUGCCUGUUCGAGCGUCAUUUGUACCCUCAAGCUUUGCUUGGUGUUGGGCGUUUUGUCUUUGCUCGCCAAAGACUCGCCUUAAAACGAUUGGCAGCCGACCUCUUGGUUUCGCAGCGCAGCACAAUUUUGCGCUUGCAAAUCAGCAAGUUGGCACUCCAUCAAGAACA
rnacentral:rRNA from 1 species